UUUGCUAGACCCAUUCUCCAAGGAGGAAAGCUUUUCGGCAGCUGCUUUCUUUGCUUCUAGCUUCCUUUGCCGACAUGUCUUAACGGGCUCUGCCAACAUCCUUACUUUUCGGCGAAAGGAGAAUGUCUCUUAGAUACGUGGACAGAUAACCACAGCUCGUGGGCACACGGCCACAGUUUCCUCCGUGAGGCUCCAAACAUUGUCUGAUCAGCUCCAAUUUCAGCACCAGGAUGAUUCAAACAUACAUUUUGACUGGCAGGCACCUAUAUGAACCAACCAUGUAGGUUGCAACUAAAUCCCUUCUGAGAGUUGCCAGCUAAUCUUUCUUCUCAGCUCCUUACUGAUAAAAAUAUCCUCAGAUCAUGACCUCAACUGACUUGUGCUCAAUCAUUUACCAGGAUGAGACUUAAGAAAGCAGAAGUCAGAUACCUGGGAGCUUGUAGAUAGCUCACUGGGUUGUUCCUGGCAUGCUGCCACAGCCUCCAUCCUGCUGGCACCCUUCUGCCACCGCUAGAUGACACAGAGGUCUAAAUUGCUCCCAGACUUGUAGCACUUUUGAGACAGGAGUUUGUGCCUUGUACAACUUACAAGUCAAACCAAUUGCUCAUAAAUACAUGGGAAAAACAGGUUUGUCAGGGGCCUGAGGAUGUGAGUGCCCUGUUUCUCAGCUCUAGGGCAGCAGCAGCCAGACCUGUACCAGUCCACUCCAACUUGUUUCCAAAGCACUCAAGGAGAUCCUGAACAGAGGUCACCCUGCUCCUCUGUGAUAGCAGCACUUCAAGCAACGUGGCUGCUGCUGCUAGCUGAAGGGCUCACCAGCACAUUGCAGGAAGCCCCAGCAGUACACAGAUUCAGAUCUUCACCCGAUAGAUAAUUUUAUGUGGUCUGCAGAAGAAUAAGGCUUUGUCAGAAUGAGAUGAUAGCUGACUUUGUUUGGGAGGGGGAGAGGAGGGAGAAGGGUGUUUUCUCAAUUUCUGUGUAUUUCUAUUCAGCUGCUGCAGAAACAUCCCCAUCUGCUUUGAAUCUACAUUUUCAUUCCAAACCCAAGCAAGAAAUGAAGCAAGCUGGUUUGCUCUGCCUGGCAAAGUACACGCAUAGCAAGUUGCUGAGCUGAAAGCUGUUCCAAAAUCCAGGAAUGUAACAGACUUAAAAGCCAAGUUACCUGGCUUUGUGCUCUGCUUAACUGUAUGAUGAUGAUAAUCAGAAAAUGAGUUUCAUCAGUAUGACCUUCACAUGUUGUCACUUACUGAGGAGUACAAGAGUACGUGCUUUCUUUGUUAUCUGUUGUCUGGACAAAUUGGUUUGAGGAAGUGACAGCAUAAAUAAGA